UUUUUAUCUCUUUAGUAUUUUAGGUAUUUCGGGCUUAAGGGAUCAAUGGUCUGAGUGUCUUUGUUCGCGGAAAUUCGGUUUACGGCUUAAACAGAGUGUCAAAAUUACGCGUCUUCGUGUACCGUCGGAAUAAUUCGGAUGACCACCAAUAUGCACUAACAUUGUAUCUAUGGCGAUGAUACCGUUGUCAACGGAUUGUUCUGUUAUUAUUGCAUUAUUAGUAUCCGUGUCAAUAAAACAGAAUGAUCUUUUCG